rnacentral:lncRNA from 1 species
GGGAAGCCAUAGUUAGGGUUUUUAAGAUUCCAAGCUCAAUAGUAAGUGAUUCCAAGCCCCGUUUUUAAUGUUCUUUACGUUUUCGGAGUCCUAGUAACUUAAUUUAGUUUAUUCUAGCAAUAAUUUAACCCAGGGUUUAUAUUUGGAAAAAUACCCAUAGGUUAAAAGUGUUUAUUUUGCUAUUUUAUGGUAGAAUAUGAAGCUAUAAAUUAUGUUAAACAACUUUUUCUAAGCGAUUUUAAACGAAAACGAGUAAAUUGACAUAAUUGGUAAAAAUACAUAAUGUUCAAAAGUGUGUGUUAGAGUGGGAAUUUGAUUUUUCCAUAGAAGGGAAAAAUGUUCAGCAUGUCAUAAAAAAUAAUAAUAAGAGAUGAAGUUUAAUUUCCGAGCUUGGGGACAAAAGUGUAAAUAUGCAAAACUUAGGGGGCAAAAUUGUAAUUUUUCAAAAAUUUGGGUGGAGGACUAUUUUAAUAAAUGUGAACAUUAAAUGAGUUAAAUUUGCUAUUAUAGAUCAAGAAAAACGAGAAGACUACCUCAAACGGGGAAAAGAAAAGAUAGUGGAGUAAAUUGCAAAAUUACGAUAUUUUGCACCGAGGUAAGUAAACAUGUGAUUUAAUGCAUUAUUUUGAUAUUAUUCAAUAUAUGUUGAGAUUUAAUAGAGCAUAGAAUAAAUAUUUGUCAAGAUCCUAAAAAUGUGGUUAAGUUGGGAAAGGUGGUAAAGUGUUGAAAACACGGUUUCCGGUUGAACACUCGUAAUAAGCCGGAGUUCAUUGAAUACGAAGGGGGUUGCUAAGUGCUGAUUCCCCCAAGGGGUUGCUAAGUGCUGAUUCCACCGUAUCCUUAAAUAUAAAAGGGGGUUGCUAAGUGCUGAUUCCCCCAAGGGGUUGCUAAGUGCUGAUUUCUCAACACAUUGGUGGUUGCUAAGUGCUAAUCCCACCGUAUCUUAAAUGUGAAAGGGGUUGCUAAGUGCUGAUUCCCUGAAUUACUGGUGGUUGCUAAGUGCUGAUCCCACCGUAUCUUAAAUGUGAAGGGGUUGCUAAGUGCUGAUUCCCCGAAUCACUGGUGGUUGCUAAGUGCUGAAUCCACCGAUAACGGAUAAUAUUCCGAGUGUUCAACAGGAAAAUUGGAAAGGUGAAUAUAUAUAUAGAUGGUGGAUAAGAUUCUAUGAGCAAUAUUGGGUUUGAUACUUAAUCAACCCAUGUGUGAGAUGGAAGGAAAUAUCAAAAUUACAAAAGAGCAAAUUUAAAUGUAAAACUGUUUUGAACAACAAUAAUUGUGAAACUUUGAAAAAUCACCAUAAAUGGUGGAAAAUGAAUCAGAGGUUGGGUAAUAUAUGAAAUUGAAGCUGAAUGAGUCUAUUUUCAUAUGAAAGAAAAAUAUCAAGCAAAAUAGUUGUAUAUUUUGGGAUAUUUGAAUUUUAUUGAGACAAUGCUGAAUUGAUUUCGAAAUCCCCUGUUCCAACUUUGGAAAAUCACCAAAAAUUGUACAAAAAUAAUUAUGGCUUGAAAUUUACAUUCUUGAAUUUAUUAAUGAGUAUAUUUUUAAUAUAAAGAAACGAGAACAUUUUUUAAAUUUUUUACAGAGAGUUAAGUAAAUUUUAGUUAGGAUAUGUCAGAACUAUCGAGCAGUGAAACAUGGGAAUCUUUAGAGAAUAAACUGUACUAAUUGGAUAAACCAAAAAUUCUGAAAAUUUUAUUGUGGAAAGGUAUAUGAGUCUAGUUUUGGGGAAAUUUUAUGGAACUUCAUUUGGAGCCCUGUAGCUCCAGAUAAAAAUAAAUUGGUGACAGUGACGCAGAAAAACAGUUUGCUGGAAAUUGAACAAACAUUGAAAUUUAUGUGUGAUAAAAAUUAUGUUACUUUGUAAUCUUGUGAGAAAUUUAUUUAUUUGUCAUAUGUUUACUUACUAAGCUAUAUGCUUACUCGUUUUUAUUUUCCUCUGAUUAUAGUGACAUCAGCUAGUUCGGAACUUGGACGAAGUCAGGAAAUCAUCCACACUAUCAUCAACUUUUUGUGUAUUUUGGCAAUCAACACUUUUGAAACAUGGCAUGUAUAGAUGACUUUAUGUAAUAUAGUAUAAAUAUGUAUAUAUAGUAUUGUUCGGUUUAAUAAGUAGGUG